rnacentral:siRNA from 1 species
CAAAAAGUGCUUAUCAUUCUA